GGGUUCAACAUCUGGAAGACAUGGAUAGACUCAUAAGAGUCUGGAAGCUUGGUUAUGAUACUUCAAAUUCAUAACAACUUUUCUUCCUUUAAUGGUUCUUCUGAGUGAUUAACUUGAUUAAUAUCAAGAUUAAUGUCUUUUAAUUCUGCACACUAGAAUAACCAUUAGUAAACCUUGUUGUCCUUUAAAUAAUUUGUUAUCAUCAAAAUCUUUUAGCAGCUUGAACAAAUCUUGUUCUAAC
rnacentral:lncRNA from 1 species